rnacentral:hammerhead_ribozyme from 1 species
GUACUGCUGGAGAGUCCCAAACUAGGACGAAACAGUUGUCCAGUAC